CGUGAAAGCUGCUUCCCCAAGGACCGCAUGGGUUAUCUCACUUCUCUCACGUCUUACGUGGGCUAACUCACAGCAGAUCUUUUUCCAUUCAGGUUACACUGCCUGCGUUCAGCACAGUGUCUCACGUAGUAGAAGCUGUGUUGGACAGGGCAACCUGGAACCAUGGUGUUUAUUUGUUUGCGCAUUGUCAGAGGACUCAUCUAGUAAUCAAUGCUAACAGCUUGCCUGACAGAGCAUAGGCACUUAAAGGUGCCUGUUGGAUUUAAUCGGGAAAUGCAAAAUAGAAACACCAGUCUCUAACUCAAGAGCCAGGUAUCUACAAUGGAAAUGAAAGUCUCACGAUGGACCUUUGAAAGAUCCAGCAAGGCCUGGUAGUGCAGGACUGUAGUUCCAGCUCCUGAGUGAAUCAGAAGGAUCAGAAGUUCAAUGCCUAUCAGGGCUUCAUGUGCAUUCAAGCUGUUUGGUUUACAGGGUGAGUGUAAGGUCUACAAGGAAAAAGAACAAGUGGGAUAGAAGGAAAUACAAACUGAAGAGUUUAAAGUAAAAAGGGACAUCAGGAAAUUUAAUUAUGGACCCAAGGCUUGUGUUGUAAAAAAGAAAUUAAGGAGAGGUUUGAUCUAAAAUGGAAUAAAUGGAGGGGUACCUUCAAGGCCCAAGAAACACUCCCACUCUGGUUCCUGAGUAGCUGGGACCACACGUCCACAUUUCCAUCCUCUGCAACCUUGGCUUUAGCUUUAACUGGUUCCUUCUACAUCAGAAGAACAAUUUGGGCCGGUGAGAUGAUUAUCGAUAACGGUUAUUUUCACCAAACCUCACAACUGGUGUUCAAUCCCUGGGAUUCACAUGGUAGAAGAAGAAAAGCAAUUCCUGCAGGUCUUCCUAUGACCUCCAUAUGUGCACCAUGGCAUAUGUAGGUCACAUGUGUCUCUGCCUAUAUGUAGGUGAAAUGUAAUAAAAAAAGAAUAUUUGAGAAAA
rnacentral:lncRNA from 1 species